GGAUGCGAUCAUAGCAGCACUAAAGCACCGGACCCCAUCAGAACUCCGAAGUUAAGCGUGCUUGGGCGAGAGUAGUACUAGGAUGGGUGACCUCUUGGGAAGUCCUCGUGUUGCAUUCC
rnacentral:rRNA from 3 species